UACGGAGGGUGCAAGCGUUAUCCGGAUUCACUGGGUUUAAAGGGUGCGUAGGCGGGUAAGUAAGUCCGUGGUGAAAUCUCUGAGCUUAACUCAGAAACUGCCGUGGAUACUAUUUGCCUUGAAUAUUGUGGAGGUGAGCGGAAUAUGUCAUGUAGCGGUGAAAUGCUUAGAUAUGACAUAGAACACCAAUUGCGAAGGCAGCUUACUACAGGGACAUUGACACUGAGGCACGAAAGCGUGGGGAUCAAACAGG
rnacentral:rRNA from 1 species